rnacentral:rRNA from 1 species
GAUGAACGCGUAGCGGGAGGCUUAACACAUGCAAGUCGAGGGGCAGCAUAGGGUAGCAAUACUCUGAUGGCGACCGGCAAACGGGUGAGUAACGCGUAUGUAACCUACCCUGUACAGGGGGAUAACCCGGAGAAAUUCGGACUAAUAUCCCAUAACAAUAUCCGGGGGCAUCUUUGGAUAUUUAAAGUUCCGGCGGUACGGGAUGGGCAUGCGUAACAUUAGCUAGUUGGUAAGGUAACGGCUUACCAAGGCUUUGAUGUUUAGGGGUCCUGAGAGGGUGGUCCCCCACACUGGUACUGAGACACGGACCAGACUCCUACGGGAGGCAGCAGUGAGGAAUAUUGGUCAAUGGGCGCAAGCCUGAACCAGCCAUCCCGCGUGCAGGAAGACGGCGCUAUGCGUUGUAAACUGCUUUUCCAGGGAGAGAAACUUGCGCACGUGUUGCGCAAUUGACGGUACCCUGGGAAUAAGCAUCGGCUAACUCCGUG